UACAGAGGGUGCAAGCGUUGUUCGGAAUUACUGGGCGUAAAGGGUGAGUAGGCGGUCCUGUAAGUCAGAUGUGAAAUCCCAGAGCUUAACUUUGGAAUUGCAUUUGAAACUACAGGACUUGAGGAUGGUAGAGGCUAGCAGAAUUCCCAGUGUAGUGGUGAAAUACGUAGAGAUUGGGAGGAAUACCAGAGGCGAAGGCGGCUAGCUGGGCCAUUUCUGACGCUGAGGCACGAAAGCGUGGGUAGCAAACAGG
rnacentral:rRNA from 1 species